AAAGGAACCAUUUGUCUGUUUAGAGUGUGGUAAAACAUUUGGAGAAGAAAGCAGUCUGAAUAAACAUGCAAGAUUUCAUACAGGGGAAAAACCAUUUGCGUGUUCUGACUGUGGUAAAAGAUUUGGAGAAAAAAGUAAUCUGAGCAGACACAUGAGAAUUCACACAGGAGAGAAACCAUUUGUCUGCUCUGAGUGUGAUAAAAGAUUUAGAGAAAAAGGCAACUGGAAAACGCAUAUGAGAAUUCAUACAGGAGA